CUCGCCGGAAGACCAAGGGUUCCUGUCCAACGUUAAUCGGGGCAGGGUGAGUCGACCCCUAAGGCGAGGCCGAAAGGCGUAGUCGAUGGGAAACAGGUUAAUAUUCCUGUACUUGGUGUUACUGCGAAGGGGGGACGGAGAAGGCUAUGUUGGCCGGGCGACGGUUGUCCCGGUUUAAGCGUGUAGGCUGGUUUUCCAGGCAAAUCCGGAAAAUCAAGGCUGAGGCGUGAUGACGAGGCACUACGGUGCUGAAGCAACAAAUGCCCUGCUUCCAGGAAAAGCCUCUAAGCAUCAGGUAACAUCAAAUCGUACCCCAAACCGACACAGGUGGUCAGGUAGAGAAUACCAAGGCGCUUGAGAGAACUCGGGUGAAGGAACUAGGCAAAAUGGUGCCGUAACUUCGGGAGAAGGCACGCUGAUAUGUAGGUGAAGUCCCUCGCGGAUGGAGCUGAAAUCAGUCGAAGAUACCAGCUGGCUGCAACUGUUUAUUAAAAACACAGCACUGUGCAAACACGAAAGUGGACGUAUACGGUGUGACGCCUGCCCGGUGCCGGAAGGUUAAUUGAUGGGGUCAGCGCAAGCGAAGCUCUUGAUCGAAGCCCCGGUAAACGGCGGCCGUAACUAUAACGGUCCUAAGGUAGCGAAAUUCCUUGUCGGGUAAGUUCCGACCUGCACGAAUGGCGUAAUGAUGGCCAGGCUGUCUCCACCCGAGACUCAGUGAAAUUGAACUCGCUGUGAAGAUGCAGUGUACCCGCGGCAAGACGGAAAGACCCCGUGAACCUUUACUAUAGCUUGACACUGAACAUUGAGCCUUGAUGUGUAGGAUAGGUGGGAGGCUUAGAAGUGUGGACGCCAGUCUGCAUGGAGCCGACCUUGAAAUACCACCCUUUAAUGUUUGAUGUUCUAACGUUGACCCGUAAUCCGGGUUGCGGACAGUGUCUGGUGGGUAGUUUGACUGGGGCGGUCUCCUCCUAAAGAGUAACGGAGGAGCACGAAGGUUGGCUAAUCCUGGUCGGACAUCAGGAGGUUAGUGCAAUGGCAUAAGCCAGCUUGACUGCGAGCGUGACGGCGCGAGCAGGUGCGAAAGCAGGUCAUAGUGAUCCGGUGGUUCUGAAUGGAAGGGCCAUCGCUCAACGGAUAAAAGGUACUCCGGGGAUAACAGGCUGAUACCGCCCAAGAGUUCAUAUCGACGGCGGUGUUUGGCACCUCGAUGUCGGCUCAUCACAUCCUGGGGCUGAAGUAGGUCCCAAGGGUAUGGCUGUUCGCCAUUUAAAGUGGUACGCGAGCUGGGUUUAGAACGUCGUGAGACAGUUCGGUCCCUAUCUGCCGUGGGCGCUGGAGAACUGAGGGGGGCUGCUCCUAGUACGAGAGGACCGGAGUGGACGCAUCACUGGUGUUCGGGUUGUCAUGCCAAUGGCACUGCCCGGUAGCUAAAUGCGGAAGAGAUAAGUGCUGAAAGCAUCUAAGCACGAAACUUGCCCCGAGAUGAGUUCUCCCUGACUCCUUGAGAGUCCUGAAGGAACGUUGAAGACGACGACGUUGAUAGGCCGGGUGUGUAAGCGCAGCGAUGCGUUGAGCUAACCGGUACUAAUGAACCGUGAGGCUUAACCU
rnacentral:rRNA from 1 species